CAGGCUUAACACAUGCAAGUCGAGGGGCAGCAUGGUCUUAGCUUGCUAAGGCCGAUGGCGACCGGCGCACGGGUGAGUAACACGUAUCCAACCUGCCGUCUACUCUUGGACAGCCUUCUGAAAGGAAGAUUAAUACGAGAUGGCAUCAUGAGUCCACAUGUUCACAUGAUUAAAGGUAUUCCGGUAGACGAUGGGGAUGCGUUCCAUUAGAUAGUAGGCGGGGUAACGGCCCACCUAGUCUUCGAUGGAUAGGGGUUCUGAGAGGAAGGUCCCCCACAUUGGAACUGAGACACGGUCCAAACUCCUACGGGAGGCAGCAGUGAGGAAUAUUGGUCAAUGGGCGAGAGCCUGAACCAGCCAAGUAGCGUGAAGGAUGACUGCCCUAUGGGUUGUAAACUUCUUUUAUAAAGGAAUAAAGUCGGGUAUGCAUACCCGUUUGCAUGUACUUUAUGAAUAAGGAUCGGCUAACUCCGUGCCAGCAGCCGCGGUAAUACGGAGGAUCCGAGCGUUAUCCGGAUUUAUUGGGUUUAAAGGGAGCGUAGAUGGAUGUUUAAGUCAGUUGUGAAAGUUUGCGGCUCAACCGUAAAAUUGCAGUUGAUACUGGAUAUCUUGAGUGCAGUUGAGGCAGGCGGAAUUCGUGGUGUAGCGGUGAAAUGCUUAGAUAUCACGAAGAACUCCGAUUGCGAAGGCAGCCUGCUAAGCUGCAACUGACAUUGAGGCUCGAAAGUGUGGGUAUCAAACAGGAUUAGAUACCCUGGUAGUCCACACGGUAAACGAUGAAUACUCGCUGUUUGCGAUAUACUGCAAGCGGCCAAGCGAAAGCGUUAAGUAUUCCACCUGGGGAGUACGCCGGCAACGGUGAAACUCAAAGGAAUUGACGGGGGCCCGCACAAGCGGAGGAACAUGUGGUUUAAUUCGAUGAUACGCGAGGAACCUUACCCGGGCUUAAAUUGCAGAUGAAUUACGGUGAAAGCCGUAAGCCGCAAGGCAUCUGUGAAGGUGCUGCAUGGUUGUCGUCAGCUCGUGCCGUGAGGUGUCGGCUUAAGUGCCAUAACGAGCGCAACCCUUGUUGUCAGUUACUAACAGGUUCUGCUGAGGACUCUGACAAGACUGCCAUCGUAAGAUGUGAGGAAGGUGGGGAUGACGUCAAAUCAGCACGGCCCUUACGUCCGGGGCUACACACGUGUUACAAUGGGGGGUACAGAGGGCCGCUACCACGCGAGUGGAUGCCAAUCCCAAAAACCUCUCUCAGUUCGGACUGGAGUCUGCAACCCGACUCCACGAAGCUGGAUUCGCUAGUAAUCGCGCAUCAGCCACGGCGCGGUGGAUACGUUCCCGGGCCUUGUACACACCGCCCGUCAAGCCAUGGGAGCCGGGGGUACCUGAAGUGCGUAACCGCGAGGAGCGCCCUAGGGUAAAACUGGUGACUGGG
rnacentral:rRNA from 1 species